UGAACUCAGUAAUCUAAACAUACUGCAUAAAGCAUUAUUUUUUCUUCACUUUACCAAUCUUAGUAGCCGUUACCUUAAACACUGCCCGAAACUGGAGCAUCAAGCAAAUAGAGAAACACUCACUGCUGCAAUACCUUCACAAUAAACUUUAAUUUAUUUCUACCACCAGCUAAACCUCUUCCUAAACCUCCUAGUACGGCGCGUUCCAACCGACAAAGCGUGCCUGCAGCAAACUUCGCCCGCACGGAAACGACUCAACCACGGUACUGGCACCACUCAAAGCUUUCGGGAGCUCCCGAAGCCUCCCCUAGGGACGGUCUACUAACGCAUCGGGUCAAAUCCUCAUCAAAACCGAUCCAGGUACGUGAUAGUGUAACGAAUCGCACCAAGAUUAAACUGUGCCAUUUGGGCGUAAAGUGGAACACUCGACAGUGAUUAUGUUGAGUACUGGCUUUCACAUACUGUAACCGGUUUUUUGUUCGUGUGUCGUUGCAAGAAGGUUUGGCCGAUAGCGCACCAAAAGGAAAGAAAAGGGUGGGGUUUAUUAAUUAUUUUGCUCCACCCACCCUAUAACCGUGUUUGUCCGAUUUGUGAAGCAUUUAAAUUGUGUGUACCGGAAUACCGUCACCUGUAACCGACAGUACCGGGCUUGCCGGGGCCGGGUGCUUGUUUGUGCUACAUAAACACGCCCAGCACGGCGUGAGAGAACGUACGUAAAUGAUGGAUUUAUGGUACACAAGAAAUGAUUAAUUGUUGCACCGCUCUGUACGCCCUCGAAGUCAAUUAGUUCCACCAGCACAUCGAUACGAUACAAAUUUUCCCGUACGGUUCGAUCGUUUUUUUCGGAUUGCGUCGCAAAAUGGGAGCUUUUUCGUUGUAAAUUAAACCUCAAACUCAC